UACGUAGGUGGCAAGCGAUACUCGGAAUCACUAGGCGUAAAGCGCAGGUAGGCGGUUUGGUAAGUCUUUUGUGAAAGCUCCCGGCUCAACUGGGAGAGGUCAAGGGAAACUACCAGACUAGAGUGUGGUAGGGGAUACUGGAAUUCCUGGUGUAGCGGUGAAAUGCGUAGAUAUCAGGAGGAAUACCUAUGGCGAAAGCAGGUAUCUGGGCCAUCACUGACGCUGAGCUGCGAAAGCUAGGGGAGCAAACAGG
rnacentral:rRNA from 1 species